rnacentral:rRNA from 1 species
AGCAGUAGCCGCGGUAAUACGUAGGGUGCGAGCGUUAAUCGGAAUUACUGGGCGUAAAGCGUGCGCAGGCGGUUUUGUAAGACAGGCGUGAAACCCCCGGGCUCAACCUGGGAAUGGCGCUUGUGACUGCAAAGCUAGAGUGCGGCAGAGGGGGAUGGAAUUCCGCGUGUAGCAGUGAAAUGCGUAGAUAUGCGGAGGAACACCGAUGGCGAAGGCAUUCCCCUGGGCCUGCACUGACGCUCAUGCACGAAAGCGUGGGGAGCAAACAGGAUUAGAUACCCCUGUAGUCCCUGUCUCUUAUAU